rnacentral:misc_RNA from 1 species
CAAGGAUAACAACUUCGGCUGCGACGAGUUCCCGUCGGCGGCCUUCAAGACCAAGCCCGGAGCCCUCCCCAAUUUUCUCCUCAUCGAUCGCGGAGAGUGCGUUUUUGCUAAGAAGGUUUGGAAUGCACAGAAUGCUGGCGCUUCAGCAGUACUUGUUAUAGAUGACCGCGAUGAGCCAUUGAUAACCAUGGACUUGCCGCGAGAAGAUGACGAAGCUGCACACUAUAUUCAAAACAUUACUAUUCCCUCUGCUCUUAUUG